ensembl:snoRNA
UGCACUCUGUGGUAUCUACACUCAACAGUGUAUUCCCGCUAGUGGGUUCAAGGGACAGUGCAAUAGAAAUUGAGUAUUUGACAUCAUUGGUUUUCUUGGCUUUGUGCAUGUUAAACUUGGUAUUUCUAUUGAUAUAGUA